AACAAAUAUUAAAGGCAACGCCUGCCCAGUGAACAAUUAAACGGCCGCGGUACCCUAACCGUGCAAAGGUAGCAUAAUCAUUUGUCUAUUAAUUGUAGACCAGUAUGAAAGGCAAAAUGAGGGCCUAACUGUCUCUUAUAGUCAAUCAAUUAAACUGAUCCCCUAGUAAAAAAGCUAGAAUAUUUACAUAAGACCAGAAGACCCUGUGAAGCUUAAACUAAGCUAUUACACCUUAUAAUAGUUACUUUCGGUUGGGGCGACCUUGGAAUAAAAAAGAACUUCCAAACACACGACUAUAACUCGUACCAACUAGGCUCACAAGCCUAUUCAAUUUGACCCAGCAAAGCUGAUCACUGAACCAAGCUACUCCAGGGAUAACAGCGCUAUCCUCUUCAAGAGCCCAUAUCAAAAAGAGGGUUUACGACCUCGAUGUUGGAUCAGGACAUCCUAAUGGUGCAGCCGCUAUUAAGGGUUCGUUUGUUCAACGAUUAAUAGUCCUACGUGAUCUGAGUUCAGACCGGAGUAAUCCA
rnacentral:rRNA from 1 species